GACGAACCGUGCAAACGUUGUUCGGAAUCACUGGGCUUAAAGGGCGCGUAGGCGGGCAACUAAGUCGGAUGUGAAAUCCCCAGGCUUAACCUGGGAACUGCAUCCGAUACUGGAUGGCUUGAAUCCGGGAGAGGGAUGCAGAAUUCCAGGUGUAGCGGUGAAAUGCGUAGAUAUCUGGAGGAAUACCGGUGGCGAAGGCGGCAUCCUGGACCGGCAUUGACGCUGAUGAGCGAAAGCUAGGGGAGCAAACGGG
rnacentral:rRNA from 1 species